rnacentral:misc_RNA from 1 species
GAUGAAGAACGUAGCGAAAUGCGAUACGUAAUGUGAAUUGCAGAAUUCAGUGAAUCAUCGAAUCUUUGAACGCAUAUUGCGCUCUCUGGUAUUCCGGAGAGCAUGUUUGUUUGAGUAUCAGUAAACACCUCAACUUCCAUAUCUUUUUUGAAAUGGGAGUUGGACUUGAGUGAUCCCAACGCUUUUCCUCACCGAAAAGUGGCGGGUUACUUGAAAUGCAGGUGCAGCUGGACUUUUCUCUGAGCUAUAAGCAUAUCUAUUUAGUCUGCCUAAAAAACAGAUUAUUACCUUUGCUGCAACUAACAUAAAGGAGAUUAGUUCUUGUGCUGACUGAUGCAGGAUUCACAAAGACAGGCUUCGGCCGACUUUGUAAACUCGAUCUCAAAUCAAGUAAGACUACCCGCUGAACUUAAGCAUAUCAAUAAGCGGAGGA